AAAAAAUUAGUUUUAACUUCAUGAUUUAAUAUUAAUGACAUUAUACAUUAUUAUAAGAUGUUUUUCUUAAUGCUGCGUGCGUGCCUUUGAUGCGCGUGCGCGUGAACAUUCAAAUCACAGGAGCGCGCGAGCAGUUUGAAUUGAAACAGGAAGCGUCGUGCCGUCGUCAACUGACAAACACCAACUAGCGUCUCUCGCUGUUGUCACUGCGUUCAGAAAUGAUUUUGGGUCUUCGAAAAAGUCCGUUAGCAUCUCAAUCGUUUUCAGAAGAGGCUAGCAGCUAAGUUAGCUAAGAUCAUGUUGAUGUCCUAAGUUACUGCACCCCCUGUCCAAGACAAUCUCCACGGCUAUGAACUCGACUAGUGUGUUUUGAAAUAAGUUGUCUAAUGAGACAUCAUACUGUCCAACUCAAAGGAGGGAUCAUGAAAUUUGAUUCUGCAGCCACAGAGAAGUAAAUCAAGAUGCAUGUUUCUGAGCACCUCAAGCACGCGCCGCAAAGAUUGGAGGUAGAGGAUUCACAACUCCCUGAUGAGCCAAGACGAGAGGACUUGAAUUAUAAAUUAAAUUACAAUCUAGUUAUUUGUUCAUAAUUGUGCUUUACUGUGGCCCUUCAAUGACAAUCUAAUUAUUUGUUCAUAAUUAAAUUAAAUUACAAUUUUACACUACAGUGUUUAACACCUGUUAUAGAUGUGUAAAGGCAUGAAUUAAUCAUUUGCACUUUCUGCAUAAAGUGUGAACUAUUCAUCACUUGUAAAUGUCUUACACUACAUUCAUAGAGAUCUACUAACUAAUUAUUUGUUCAUAAUUGUGCUAGAUAUAUUUGGUGCCCUUCAAUUGCAAUCUAAUUAUUUGUUCAUAAUUAAAUUACAAUCUAAUUAUUUGUACAUAAUUGUGCUUGAUAUGUCCAGUGCCCUUCUGAUGCUAUUCAUGGCAAUUUAUUUUUGAAUAAAGAUUAAAAUGGUGA